CUUACCUACCCUUGACAUGUACGGAACCCUGCCGAGAGGUGGGGGUGCCCGAAAGGGAGCCGUAACACAGGUGCUGCAUGGCUGUCGUCAGCUCGUGUCGUGAGAUGUUGGGUUAAGUCCCGCAACGAGCGCAACCCUUGUCCCCAGUUGCUACGCAAGAGCACUCCGGGGAGACUGCCGGUGACAAACCGGAGGAAGGUGGGGAUGACGUCAAGUCCUCAUGGCCCUUAUGGGUAGGGCUUCACACGUCAUACAAUGGUCGGAACAGAGGGUUGCGAAGCCGCGAGGUGGAGCCAAUCCCAGAAAACCGAUCGUAGUCCGGAUCGCAGUCUGCAACUCGACUGCGUGAAGCUGGAAUCGCUAGUAAUCGCGGAUCAGCAUG
rnacentral:rRNA from 1 species